CCUACGGGACGCAGCAGUGAGGAAUAUUGGUCAAUGGGCGGAAGCCUGAACCAGCCAAGUCGCGUGAGGGAAUAAGGCCCUACGGGUCGUAAACCUCUUUUGCCGGGGAGCAAGGGCGGGGACGUGUCCCGGCCCGGAGAGUACCCGGAGAAAAAGCAUCGGCUAACUCCGUGCCAGCAGCCGCGGUAAUACGGAGGAUGCGAGCGUUAUCCGGAUUUAUUGGGUUUAAAGGGUGCGCAGGCGGUCUGUUAAGUCAGCGGUCAAAGCCCGGGGCUCAACCCCGGCCCGCCGUUGAAACUGGCAGG
rnacentral:rRNA from 1 species